GAGUAGUAAAAGUUAAGAUCUCGAAACUCAAAAAAUUUGGCGGUAUUUUAUCUUAUUAGAGGAACCUGUUUAUUAAUUGAUAUUCCACAACUUUAAUUUACUUUCAUAAGAUUAUUUGUAUACCGUUGUCAUGAAUCUAUUAAAAAAUAAUUUUCAGAGAGUUUUAUUUAAUUUAUGUUAGAUCAAGGUGCAGUUUUUGAAAGAAAAAAAUGGGUUACAUUAUUUAUUAUGAAUGGAAAUUACUAUAAAAUUAGUAAUAGAAAUAGGAUUUAAUAGUAAGUAAACUAAAGAUUUUUUAUGAAUAGAGAUWCUAAAAUAUG
rnacentral:rRNA from 1 species